rnacentral:misc_RNA from 1 species
CUCAAAGUCACUCUCUUUUGUUUGUGCUAAAGUUGGUACAGCUAAAAGUUUAAGCAAUUUUAUUCUACAUUAUGAAUGACGCAAAUGCCAACAAGCAACUACACAAAGAAAAUCUUUCUGGAAAUAUUAGAAACUGAAACACAGUUAAUGGUUGGAAGUUCAAAUUUAUAAGCACCUGAAAAAGAAAAAUCAAACCUUUCUCUUUUGCCCCUCCUUAGUCCAUCAAGUAGCCAUUAAUAUAAUGUGCAGGCACAGAUCUCAGAAAGAGCAGCGAGAAGGAG